rnacentral:rRNA from 1 species
AGGCUUAACACAUGCAAGUCGAGCGCCUGUAGCAAUACAGGAGCGGCAGACGGGAGAGUAACACGUGGGAACAUACCCUUUGGUUCGGAAUAACUCAGGGAAACUUGAGCUAAUACCGGAUACGCCCUUACGGGGAAAGAUUUAUUGCCGAAGGAUUGGCCCGCGUCCGAUUAGCUAGUUGGUGAGGUAACGGCUCACCAAGGCGACGAUCGGUAGCUGGUCUGAGAGGAUGAUCAGCCUCAUUGGGACUGAGACACGGCCCAA